UAUGGCUCAGGAUGAACGCUGGCGGCGUGCCUAAUACAUGCAAGUCGAACGGAGACCUCUCGGAGAUCUUAGUGGCGAACGGGUGAGUAACACAUGAGGAACCUGCCCAUUAGACGGGGAUAGCUUCUGGAAACGGGAGGUAAUACCGGAUAAAAGCGGGGGAGGCAUCUUCCCCAUUUAAAAGGGUGCUACGGCAUCGCUUAUGGAUGGCCUCAUGGUGCAUUAGUUAGACGGCGGGUAACGGCCCACCGUGACGAUGAUGCAUAGCCGAUCUGAGAGGAUGACCGGCCACAUUGGGACUGAGACACGGCCCAGACUCCUACGGGAGGCAGCAGUAGGGAAUUUUCGGCAAUGGGCGAAAGCCUGACCGAGCAACGCCGCGUGAGUGAUAAGGCCUUCGGGUUGUAAAGCUCUGUUGCCGGGGACGAAGGAUGCGGAUAGGGAAUGAUCCGCAGGUGACGGUACCCGGCCAGAAAGCCACGGCUAACUACGUGCCAGCCGCGGC
rnacentral:rRNA from 1 species